rnacentral:rRNA from 1 species
AUAUUGGACAAUGGGCGCAAGCCUGAUCCAGCCAUGCCGCGUGAGUGAUGAAGGCCCUAGGGUUGUAAAGCUCUUUCACCGGUGAUGAUAAUGACAGUACCGGGAGAAUAAGCCCCGGCUAACUCCGUGCCAGCAGCCGCGGUAAUACGGAGGGGGCUAGCGUUGUUCGGAAUUACUGGGCGUAAAGCGCACGUAGGCGGCUUUGUAAGUCAGAGGUGAAAGCCCGGAGCUUAACUCCGGAAUAGCCUUUGAGACUGCAUCGCUUGAAUCCAGGAGAGGUGAGUGGAAUUCCGAGUGUAGAGGUGAAAUUCGUAGAUAUUCGGAAGAACACCAGUGGCGAAGGCGGCUCACUGGACUGGUAUUGACGCUGAGGUGCGAAAGCGUGGGGAGCAAACAGG